ensembl:lncRNA
CUCCGACUCUGCCUAUUCUCAGGCUCUGUCAAGGAGAUGUACGCCGGCUGUGCAGCCCUGCCACGGCUCACGCAGUGCACAGAAGGAGCAGGCAGCGUUAGCGAAGGAGAACCCUGGCCUUGGUACGUGGUGUGGGGUUAUGUGUGCCUCAGCACUUCCUGAGCGCUAAAACUGGUAUCUGCUACACAGAAAACCCUGUCCUUGGGAAGAAGGGGAAGAUUCCCUAUGAGGCAUGAUAUCCCUGUGAUUUCAUCUCCAAUAAGAAACCAGUCUGACCAUGACUCAGUUUACAGUAAAGGACACUCUUGCUGCCUUAUUUCAAGCAUCUGUUUACAAAUGUCCUACCAGCUGUGCACAAAAGGUAUUUUGUUGAAGGUGGAAAAUGCCUCAAAAUCCACACCUACUGAGCAUUCAAUGCCCAAAGUGAUUGUGCAGCAGACCAGAGGUGCAUCUCCCAUGGAAGACAGUGAUGUGACAGAACAGGAUAUCGAAAAAAAGCCAAAAUAUUGAGGAUGGAGUCACCUUGCUGUAUUUUUCCUCCAUCCGUCUGUUCUACCUCUCCAGCUUGCUGAGAACUGCCCUUUAGCAAGUGUUUGCAUUGCCACAUAGUGUACACACAGUGCUCCCACGAAGGAUGAAAGGUUUCAAGUGCACAGGUGAAGGUGAGUGAGGCGAUGACAGCAGAGUGCCCUGUUAGUGACCUGCUGCUGCUGCUGCACCGUGCAGCGGUGCGGGGACACAUCUCAGAAGGAGCAGCACCGAUUGAGGCAGGGAGUGCUGUUUCUCUGGCACUAACGGAGUUUCCUGCUGCAAGGACAGCACACCAGUUCCUCUGGCAGAAGUGAGCCUACUGAUGGAGAUGAAAGCGUGAGCUUUCAGUCAGGUUCUAGCUGAUCUGGCGCACUGACGUCAUUACUUCUGGAAAAGAAACAAAUAUAGAUUUUCCCUGUGCAAUGAGAACAGUUUCCAGUAAAAUUUUCCAUGUUUGUAGGUGCAUACAGGAGAAAAUGCAUUACCAACCUGUCUGUUUGCUGCCUGACAGCUGCUUCUUUUGAGGCCAUGGGGGACGGAGGCUCACAGUGAUACUCAGGCCUCCUGCAUGAGGUACUGCUUGGUCUCCAAAUACAACAGGAGUGUCCUGGGACGUGCAUUAGGAGCAUUUUAAUGCUAUCAGAAGUUGCAUACCUUCUUAAUUAAUCACAGUAAAACAGAGUAAAACUUCUUGCCCGACACCUGCUCUCUUCUCUCAGGAUUCCUGUUUCCAUGAGUCAUCUGCAUUUAGC